ACAUGUCCUGCUAUUGGGAAUGAAAUGAAAAACAAUGGAAAUCUUAAGUAGAUUUAUCAUUAUUAUUGGUAGCCAGGAGUAUCGUGUUUAUACAGAAACUGAUUAUGAGAAAUAUUUACUGAAGUAAAUGGUGUGACACCUAGCCUCAGUUCCCUGCAUAUCAGCAUAUCACCUGUUCCCUGACAGGUUUCCUUUAUGGCAACUCUCCAACCCUCCCUCCUAAACUUUUUUUUUUCCCUUUUUUUUCUCAAACAGACUAUAGCACAUAGCUUUCAUUAAUGCUAGUGUGAAUAUAUAAAAUGUGAAAUAUAAAUGCGCCCUACCCAUGUCACUUUCUGCCAUACUCUGAUACUGUGGAUCCAUGUCUUUGUUUUGGCAUCUACAAUUCCGCUUUCAUUAAACCUUGCAGUAAUAAGCACAGUGUUUUCUUUGUCCAAAAAUGUUUAAAUAUUCAGAAAAGCUGCCUUUAAGCAAACACAUAUCAUUACAGCUGAGAGCUCUGUAUUGGAGUGUGUGAUUGUAUAUUGCUUGUGUAGAGUGUCAAGCGUACGUGCUACACAUUGUGCCUGGAGAGAUUGAUGUUUUGUCAUCCACCUGCUUCUAAGCUGUAAAAGCAAGCGCAGCAAAGGCAAACCUACCCAGCUUCAAAAUCCAAACAAAGAAAUCUUAGUGGGCUGUUUACAUAUCUGUGGAAGGAUAUCUGGGCUUGUGUUGACGGGGUGCUAGAGUGGUUGAGAGAUCAGUCCCCGCACAAUGGACGAGUGGGAAAUCAAAGACUGGAAUGCUGGGAGAACGCUGGGGAAACUGAUGGAGGGGUGAGCUCUGGAAAGGAGGAUGGAUACUUCCUGUUCCUGCUGGAGUGACCCGCAGGUCUGAGGAGGAGUGAGGGAAAGAGAGGGCGGAGAAAGUGCUUUUUGCAGUGAUUUGCUGCCAGCUUCACCUUUGGACAGAGUGCAGAAGUGAAACCGGAAGUGGCAGUGCCAGGUUCCCAGCUGAACUUGGCUGAGGUCAGUGUCCGGUCAAACGGAGUCGGGCCUGUGCGUCUGUGGGGGUGCAGAUGAAGUGGUCAGCGGUGUGACAGUUAGCGGGGAUUCUGACAGCCCCAGCUCCAGUGUGGAUUAGAGAUUUAUCCAAAAUGGAAACAAAACAAAACUAUGGUUGGCUAUCGCUCAUGUCGUUCAGAUGGCCUCUACCUGUCUAAGUGGGAGCUUCUUGGCCAGAACAAGCUACAAUGGACUAGACCUUACAUUCGUUUUGUCUGUUCACACCAACGAGGUUUAUAUUGCUUAGAGAAAGCUAUCAAUGCCAUUCAUCUCAUUGGCAGCUGAUUGACUGGGUGGAAGUUUGGGAUUUGAAAUCUCGACAUGAAGGGCGACACAGAUCCACUGAUUGCUGGAGUUUGGAUCAGAGCACAGGAAGAAGUCGAGCUAAGCAGUCACGAGCAGAGAACAUUCAGCUCCUCUAUCAUCCGCCAAACACUUGACCCACAGUAACUCCGCUUUGACAGAGCAUCACAGCUUUUCUAUGUGCCGAUGUGUGCGAUGCCAGGAAAGGUCAGGAGAUGAUUUACUGAACAUUUAUGGAGGCUUUAUCUUCAGUCCUUGUCACCAAGUCGGGCGAUGCUUCAUAGAGGGUCACCAAACAGACGUGGAAAAAGAGAGAGCAUGACAACGCUACAACCGCAAUGACACAGUCUUUAACCAGUCCAACUCUUGGCAGGUACAGAACACUAAAGGACCAUUUUAUUUCUAAAUGAGUCUGAAUGGCGCACCACAAAGACUGGAAAUGCUGCUGCCCUUUCAUUUUAAAUGGCUAUCGGGUUCAUCCUGCAAAUAAAACUCAUCACAGAAAAUGAAUAUAAGCGGUUGGAGAAGAGACAGGAGAUGUGAACUGUCCCUCUGGAACGGGCUGCCAUUAAGUUUACUAAAAAUGUCUGAUGGUUUCGCCCAGACAGUUAAGAGAGCUGUGUCUGAACGGGAUCCAAAUCUCUGGAAUCUGCAUAUGUGAGAGAGGAAGUGGAGGUGUUUUUGUUUCUAAUGCAGCCCAGUCCCUCACCAGUCCACUCUAAAAGGAAACGUGGAUGCUUCGAUCGAUUGGAGUGAGAGGUCACUGUCUACCUCCGCUGGCCGCAUAAUCUGUGUGCAGAUAAGUGUUGUUUAUUUGCCUAAAUAUGGAGAGUUAAUUUGAUUAGGGCAAGAAUGCAGCAACCCUCCCCAGGCCAGCGUACCUCAGAAGGGCAGAAUGUGUCCGGGAUGCGUGGGCUAAUCUAAUUAAACUCUGCCGGAGUGAGCUUCCUCAGCCGGCCCAUGUUACAGAUGACCAAUGGACAAUUGACAGUAUGUAUUUACCAGCAAUGCAAUUUUAACCAUAGAUAAAGAACACACACGCACACAGUCUGUCAUUAAGUACUAUAUUCAUGCCAUUAUUGACUCUAGCUGCAGUAGGAAGUUGUACAGCCUGCACUGACCAGACAGUCUCGGAGAAGAGGCGUUUGUGAGCAGUAUUGAAUUAGCAUGCAACAUUUGCUUCGGUGCCGUGUAGCAUUGCUCUCAGGUCAGUGCAGUCGGCUCACACGCGCACUUCCCCCGUCUGACGAGGUUCAUUACCGAUGGCUCCCAGGAACGACCUGAUUUCGGCUCCUUCACACUUUUAGGACGGCACUUUGUUCAAUUGCCCUACAUGGGAACUUUCCGUAAUGGGGCCAGUUGAUUAUAUUACUUUGGUUAUUUUACUUAAUGCCCAAAACAGGAGAUAAAUUUAAAAAUCUAGGGCAACUAAUCAUGCUCCGUUUUUUUUCCCCUCCUCUUCCUUAUCUUUAUGUAUCUAUUUCUUCUGUUAUACACUCUUUUUUUUCCCUGUCUCUGGUAUCCGGAGGAAAUCUCUUGAUUUGACCAUUGACACACUUAAAUUCAUUUCCUCCCUCCUUUUCUUUUGCUUUCUGAGAUGGGCCUGUGAUUGUUUUUUAACCCUAUUAUUCACAAUAAUCUUGUUCCCUUCAGAUACAGCAGUGUGUUGUUCAGACACAGCUGUGAUGUGGGCCGAGACGGCGAAAAAGAGGAAAGAAUAACCCGGGGGUCGCGUUCGCUGGCCUUAAAUUACAUUUCUCAACAUGACAGAAACAGAAGUUGUGUGAAAUGAUUGUUUCACUCUGGAUUUGCGCUGGGUGUUAAAGUGUCCCUGAGCCUCGUGUUGCCAGCGCGUGUUAGGAGUGUUGCAUUCGCCUCUGUAGAGCUGAACCCCCACAGAUGGUGGACUCGUGACAGAUCAGGGCAUUCAGGCUGGUGACAUUCCUCCUGGCGAGCAGAUCCAUCCUGGGCCGGGGGUGAAAAAUGCAGCGCCGCGCUGCUGCUCAGCUGCAGAUGAAUGGAGCUAUCUGUCUUGUCACGAGGGGUCGGCGGGAGAGGUUACAGCCCAACUGUACCUGGUCUCCGGUGCUGACGCCUGCACACCGCUUUCCUUUACAAGGGAAGAAACAAAAAAAAAAGAAGAGAGGGAGGGAGAGAGAAAACAAUCCUGCCCCAUCAAGCACUUCUUCAGUCCCUCCAGAGCUCAUCUCACUUCCCAUCAUCCCGCAGUCCUGCUGCCCUGAGAGCAGGCUUUGACACAUCUAUAUGUUUUUCCUUCUGACCUUUCAACGUCCUUUCUGUCAGCGCCUGUAAACCAUAAGCUGAUGUAUGAGGGCAAUUUUUAGCGGUGCCACUUGUAUCUGAGUGAUUGCGCAAACUUUACAUUUGGGGGGCCUGCCACCCUGCCACCUCCUCAACAUCUCUUUAUUUGCUUUGCUUGAGAUUGAGGCAGAGAAACUGAAGGGAAGGAAUAAAAAAAGUGGAUAGGGGAGGGGAUGGUGGAGUCCAUUCUCAACAACCCCCAGGCAACAGGCCUGCACUUUAUCAGUCCAGCUAGCUGAGCCCCCAGGCCAGGCCUGACCAAUCACACCUCAGAAGCACAUAUUUGAACAAACAAACCCUGUACAAAGGCUUCAUGUGGAGAAACCAGAGAAAUGCUUAACUUUCAUUGAAAUACUGAUCCCACAUAUUAAUAUCUAAUCCUAAUGCAUCCAAUCCAGCGUUUUUCAAACGUGGGCUGAAAGGGGGGUUAGCAACAAUUUAUAAAAGCUUUUUUGCCAUUUUUUAAAUGUGCAAUUAAAAAAAAAAUGUUUAGCAAUGUCAAAGUUAAUGUGUUGAGAUGUUAAUUUUAUUUAAAGCAAAAAAACACCAAUCAAUCAAAAAAGUAAUAUGAUUUUGAUUAUGAUAUUGUUUUUGGGAUGUCAAAGUUAACAUGCUAACUUAAGUUCUAUCAUGACAACUCUGAAGAUUUUUAGCAUGGUAAUGGAUAAGACAAUGUUAAUGUAUUUGGUCUUGAUGGAAUAGAUCUGCUACGCUGCUGCUGAAUUGCUGCUGCUGCUGCAGAACAAGUAUAGGAACUUGCUACUGCCAAUACAUAUGCUGAUACGCUGCUGUGCGUAAGACAUACUGCUGCUGUAUAAAUAUAUAUAAUUUCCCAGCAGGUCUAUACAGGUGGAGCUGGGGAAGGUGGAGGGUUUCAGAGGAACUCUGAAGGCGUGCUGCAAACUGCUAUAGUGAAUGCUAGCCAGCCAUUUAAAUGUUGUGAGCAGAAAGAUCAUUGGCUGCAGAUGCGACAUGAACCAAUCAGCUUAUGCAAAGUAGUUAACACUGUGAAUAUCAUCAGUUUGCAUUAAGGACCCAUCAGCCUGUUCCAUCUAGAGUUUCCUGACAGAACUAGGCACAUAUUAGUUUUAUUUUAAAAAUUAAUGCAAAAUUCUAAAAUUGAGGUAGUAUAGAUAAGUAAAUAGUGGGUAGGGGGAAAUAUGCUGUUAAUUUAAAUAUUUUCUAGAUAAUAUUUUAAUAAUUUGCUACAAUGACAAAAUAAAAGCCAAUUAUUUAACUCAGGAAAUGACUUAUCUUUAUAAUGUCCUACUUAAUAUUUUUCUCAUACGGUAUAAAUGUAAUUAAAAAUGUCUUCUAAGGGGAGUUCUUUGCAAGGGGAUCAUCAUAUUUGUGGGUCCUUGGUAAAAAAAAAAUGGUAACACUUUAUACAAUAAGGUUUCAUUAGUUAACAUUAAUUAACUAAUUUAGUUAUCAUGAAAUAAGAAUGAACAGCGUUCAUUUCAACAUUUACUAAUACAAUAUGGAAAUCAAAAGUUGUAUUUGUUAACAUUAGUUAAUGCACUGUGAACUAACAUGAACUAACAAAACAAUGAACGACUGUAUUUUUAUUACCUAACAUUAACAAAGAUGAAUAAAUACUGCAACGAAUGCAUUGCUCAUUGUUAAUUAAUGCAUUAACUAAUGUUAACAAAUAAGACCUUAUUGUAAAGUGCUACCUUAAAAAGUUUAAAAACCUGCUCUAAUCUGAUUGAAUGAGCAUCCUAAGACUGUAAUAUGUUUUCUCUUGCUUUAGAGUAGUUCUCUUGUUUGAAUAUAUGUCUGCUACUAUCACAGUAGCUUCAUCAGAUACACUGUAAAACAUGUUUUUUCGAAAUUGUAAAAAAAAAAAAAGAUUAUUUCAGUAUGUUUUAAAAGAAAAUAUUAUUUCAGUCUUUCUAUUCAGAAUUUCAUGAUUUACUCAGUAUGUUACUUGCAGAUUCUUUGUAAUUCUUUGUAAAAUUUACUAGCAACUUCUGAGUGAACUUCUUCUUUUCAGAGUUUAGGCCUUUUGCCAUGACUCUCAGAGAUAUUCUAAUUCUUAUUUGUCUACAAUCUCCGAGCAGUGUCAACCAUAAUCCAAAAAAUAAAUGAUGCUGUUCCUCUCCUG